UGGGCACACUGAGGAGACCGCCACUGAUAAAGUGGAGGAAGGAGCGGGCCACGGCAGGUCAGUAUGCCCCGAAUCUCCCGGGCCACACGCGAGCUGCAAUGGCAGGUACAAUGGGUUCCGACCUCGAAAGGGGGAGGCAAUCUCGAAAGCCUGCCGUAGUUGGGAUCGAGGGCUGAAACCCGCCCUCGUGAACAUGGAAUCCCUAGUAAUCGCGUGUCACCAGCGCGCGGUGAAUACGUCCCUGCUCCUUGC
rnacentral:rRNA from 1 species